rnacentral:rRNA from 1 species
UAGUCAGUUGGUUAUUAUAUCUCCACUAAUAAGCAGAGAGGAGUAAAUCUUCAAAGUAAGUUAUGUGGGUCAAGGUAUAGUGAUUAAUUGGAGUUCUAGUUCAUUUACUUUGAGAAAAUUAGAGUGUUUUAAAAGCAGCCUCUUGGGGCACUGAAUACAUUAGCAUGGGAUAAUAAAUAGGAUCUUCACAAUAUUAUUUUAUUGGUUUAAAUUGCGUAUGAAGAUAAUGAUUAAUAGGGACAGUUGGGGGUAUUCAUAUUGGGUGGUUAGCGGUGAAAUGCUCGGAUCCAUUCAAGAUGAACUAAAGCGAAAGCAUUUACCAAGGAUGUUUUCAUUAAUCAAGAACGAAAGUUAAGGGAUCGAAGACGAUUAGAUACCGUCGUAGUCUUAACUAUAAACUAUGCCGACCAGGGAUAUGAGUUGUUAGGAAUAUACGAAAGUAUAUUCAAUUUCUUCUUAUGAACCUUGUGAGAAAUCAUAAGUUUUUGGGUUCUGGGGGG